GACGAACCGUGCGAACGUUGUUCGGAUUCACUGGGCUUAAAGGGCGCGUAGGCGGCUUGCCAAGUCAGGGGUGAAAUCUUUCGGCUCAACCGGAAAAGUGCUACUGAUACUGGCAGGCUGGAGGGAGGUAGGGGCAGAUGGAACUUCCGGUGGAGCGGUGAAAUGCGUAGAUAUCGGAAGGAACGCCGGUGGCGAAAGCGAUCUGCUGGAUCUCUUCUGACGCUGAUGCGCGAAAGCCAGGGGAGCAAACGGG
rnacentral:rRNA from 1 species